rnacentral:pre_miRNA from 1 species
CUUGUACUCCCUUCGUCCGAAAAUACUUGACAUUGAAAUGGAUGUAUCUAGAUGUAUUUUAGUUCUAGACACAUCCAUUUUGAUGACAAGUAAUUCCGGAUGGAGGGAGUACUUG